rnacentral:rRNA from 1 species
AUUGAACGCUGGCGGCAGGCCUAACACAUGCAAGUCGAACGAGCGGCGGACGGGUGAGUAAUGUAUGGGAAUCUGCCCGAUAGAGGGGGAUAACUACUGGAAACGGUGGCUAAUACCGCAUACUAUCAGAUGUGCCCAUAUGGGAUUAGCUAGUUGGUGGGGUAACGGCUCACCUAGGCGACGAUCCAUAGCUGGUCUGAGAGGAUGACCAGCCACACUGGGACUGAGACACGGCCCAGACUCCUACGGGAGGCAGCAGUGGGGAAUAUUUCACAAUGGGCGCAAGCCUGAUGCAGCCAUGCCGCGUGUAUGAAGAAGGCCUUAGGGUUGUAAAGUACUUUCAGCGGGGAGGCGUUACCCGCUGAAGAAGCACCGGCUAACUACGUGCCAGCAGCCGCGGUAAUUC